rnacentral:rRNA from 1 species
ACGAACGCUGGCGGCAUGCCUAAUACAUGCAAGUCGAACGAGAUCUUCGGAUCUAGUGGCGCACGGGUGCGUAACGCGUGGGAAUCUACCCUUGGGUUCGGAAUAACAGUUGGAAACGACUGCUAAUACCGGAUGAUGACGAAAGUCCAAAGAUUUAUCGCCCAGGGAUGAGCCCGCGUAGGAUUAGCUAGUUGGUGAGGUAAAGGCUCACCAAGGCUACGAUCCUUAGCUGGUCUGAGAGGAUGAUCAGCCACACUGGGACUGAGACACGGCCCAGACUCCUACGGGAGGCAGCAGUAGGGAAUAUUGGACAAUGGGGGCAACCCUGAUCCAGCAAUGCCGCGUGAGUGAUGAAGGCCUUAGGGUUGUAAAGCUCUUUUACCCGAGAUGAUAAUGACAGUAUCGGGAGAAUAAGCUCCGGCUAACUCCGU